GCGCCCGUAGCUCAGCUGGAUAGAGCGCCGGACUUCGAAUCCGUAGGUCGCAGGUUCGACUCCUGCCGGGCGCA
rnacentral:tRNA from 1 species